GGCCCGGAUCGUCGAGGAGUUGCGGGGCGCCACCGCCGAGGCCGGUGGGCACGCCGUGGUGCUGACCGCGCCGGAUCC
rnacentral:tRNA from 1 species